rnacentral:misc_RNA from 1 species
GAGCUAUGGCUUUAGCAACUUGUGAGCUCAUUUGAUUAAAACAACUUCUUCAAGAGUUAAAGUGUGAGAAAGUUAAACAAAUGAAGCUAAUAUGUGACAAUCAAGCUGCCCUUCAUAUUGCCUCAAAUCUAGUUUUUCAUGAAAGAACCAAACAUAUAGAGGUUGAUUGUGAUUUCAUUAGAUAAAAGAUUGAAUCAGAGUGGAUUGCUAUCAGUUUCGUCAAUUCAAAUGAUCAGCUAGCAGAUGUGGUAAAAGAGGCUGAGAUACUUUAUUGUGAUAAAAGAGGCUAAGAUAAAAAGAGGCCUAAAUGCAAGAGACCCAAAUGCAAGAGAUAGCCUAGAAGAGGUUGCUAGAGUCUGGCGAGAAGGCUGGUGCAGGUUUUGGCGAGAAAGUGUCUAUCGGAGAAGCCUUACACGCCGACGUGUGAACAGUGGCACAGAUGCUUAUGGUGGCAUGUGGAGAAGAAUCCGGCAAUGCGACUUCGAGAGUAGGGUCAUUGGCGACUGGCGCUACUGAUGGAAAUGGUGGUGAGACUAAGAGACGCUCACACACCUGCUGUGUUACUUGGGUAGAGAGGAAAAAGAAAAAAAAGGGGAUUUAAACCCUAGGCUUUGAUACCAUGUAGAAGUUUAGAGAAAGAAAAGGAAGAUUUGGGGAAUGAAAUGCUUGAUUAUUCCCUUAAGUAAUGGGUUUAAUAUAUAGUUUUGAAAAUACAUCAAUUUAGGUAAUACAAUCAAUAUCACUAUAAUUAAUCCUACAAUCAAUAUCAUGACUUACAAAAUCAAUCUAUUCACACA